rnacentral:rRNA from 1 species
UGGUCUUGACAUCCACAGAACUUUCCAGAGAUGGAUUGGUGCCUUCGGGAACUGUGAGACAGGUGCUGCAUGGCUGUCGUCAGCUCGUGUUGUGAAAUGUUGGGUUAAGUCCCGCAACGAGCGCAACCCUUAUCCUUUGUUGCCAGCGGUUCGGCCGGGAACUCAAAGGAGACUGCCAGUGAUAAACUGGAGGAAGGUGGGGAUGACGUCAAGUCAUCAUGGCCCUUACGACCAGGGCUACACACGUGCUACAAUGGCAUAUACAAAGAGAAGCGACCUCGCGAGAGCAAGCGGACCUCAU